GAAACUGCUGAUUUACAGGCGCGUGCGGACUGCGUGUGCUUCCCGUUAGCCCCCGCCUCGAGGUCCUGGCCUUCGUGAAUCGCGGACGCGCGCGAGUGGCUGGAAAGUGAUUUUUAGGUUUUGGAACCGGAGUGAGGUGGAGUGACAUUUGAAACGUUUGCACACAGUCUUGAAACAUGUGUGGUGCGUCAGUUAUGUAUGGGGAGCUGCUGUAUGGCAUAUUUUCCCCUUUAAAAGAUCGACGAUGCAUUAAAUGGCAUUAAUUGUAGGAGGCAGGGAGGGUAAAAAGAAAAUCGUCUCUUCGGUGAAGGUUAUUUUAAGGCUUUCUGAGCCUUCUGCCUAUCAAGAUGGUUUAACACCGUUCUCCGCUGUUCUCGCCACUGUUAAUUUCUCGAGAACUGGCUUUUACCUCCUCUCUGCAGAGAAUCUAAUUCUCGAAGGCAAAUGCGUUCUAAUGAAUCUUCUGACCAUGAAUUAUGUGAAGCCCGAGGCUGCUUGGCCAAGGUUCCCGUUACAAGUAGAGGACUAAGGAUUGAAACCCUCGUCUCUCCGCCUCCAGGAUCUCAGCUUUCCACCACCUAUUUCUCAGACUGUGGUUGUAACUCAUGAAUAAAUCAGUAAAUCAAUUUAUA
rnacentral:lncRNA from 1 species